GACGAACGCUGGCGGCGUGCUUAACACAUGCGAGUCGAACGGAAAGGCCCUGCUUUUGUGGGGUGCUCGAGUGGCGAACGGGUGAGUAACACGUGAGUAACCUGCCCUUGACUUUGGGAUAACUUCAGGAAACUGGGGCUAAUACCGGAUAGGAGCUCCUGCUGCAUGGUGGGGGUUGGAAAGUUUCGGCGGCUGGGGAUGGACUCGCGGCUUAUCAGCUUGUUGGUGGGGUAGUGGCUUACCAAGGCUUUGACGGGUAGCCGGCCUGAGAGGGUGACCGGCCACAUUGGGACUGAGAUACGGCCCAGACUCCUACGGGAGGCAGCAGUGGGGAAUAUUGCACAAUGGGCGGAAGCCUGAUGCAGCAACGCCGCGUGCGGGAUGACGGCCUUCGGGUUGUAAACCGCUUUCGCCUGUGGCGAAGCGUGAGUGACGGUAAUGGGUAAAGAAGCACCGGCUAACUACGUG
rnacentral:rRNA from 1 species